rnacentral:misc_RNA from 1 species
CCGCUUUCGUUUCUACAACUUGUCGUAUAUUAGAGAGUGAUAGACGCAGCAUCAAAGUUUAGAUAUUUUUAACCCCCUGGUUUUGAGAGUCCCUUGAGUUUCCACUGUAAGGGUGGUUUGCCUCGCCCUUCCAGGCAGGGAAGAUUGCCCUCAGCUUCCCUUAACUGGAUGUGGUCGCUCCUCUCCACAUUUGGUGGGAUUGUAUAGUUUUUGUUCUUUUGGUGAAGGAGCUUGGAUUUGAGAGAGGGCUAUUUCUUUUCCUCCCUUUUUAUGUAUAUUUGAAACUUUCUUUUUGGAUCUGUGUUUGUUAUGUUAAGGUGGUGCAGGAGUCUCACGAUUUGGGAGCAGCGACUUUCUCUGUGUAGGUCGUCAUUUUCUUUCGCUGAGAUGAGGCUCAGAUCCACAUGGUAUUGGUGAGGGUGUAAAUUAAUUAAGGAGGAUUUAUAAUUUGGUCCCGGUGAGCUACGAAACUUGAAGUCCGGCAUGACUAUGAAAGACUGAAACGCCAUGGCUUUGCUCCUUCUCUCUCUUAGCAUCCAAGUUCUGCCUGUUACUGCCAUUGGAGAUGUUACUAGUGCUACUAUAUUUUGUGACUCGAUGGGCUUUUUGCAAAGCAAGUUGAGUCUUUCCUACUUAGUCUCAGGUGAUCCCUUCUUCACUCUUCAACGUCGGCGGUGAUCUGUGCCUAUUUCUACUACUCAGCAUCUGUGUGUGGUGUUGGGUUUUGCGUAAUAGGGCUUGAUGUUCUAUGGGCUUAAUUGUAUUUUCAUGGAUCUUGACUAUGUAGCUAUUUGCUAUUGUUUGGGCUUUAAUGCAAGAUUAUUGCAGUUCAAAA